AUGUACACAAACAACAAGUGUGCGGUUAAAAUUGGCAAAAAACACACACAUUUCUUCACACAGGGUCGUGGGGUUAGACAGGGAUGCAGUUUAAGCCCCACCCUCUUCAACAUAUAUAUCAACGAAUUGGCGCGGGCACUAGAAAAGUCUGCAGCACCCGGCCUCCCCCUGCUAGAAUCCGAAGUCAAAUGUCUGCUGUUUGCCGAUGAUCUGGUGCUUCUGUCACCAACCAAGGAGGGCCUACAGCAGCACCUAGAUCUUAUGCACAGAUUCUGUCAGACCUGGGCCCUGACAGUAAAUCUCAGUAAGACCAAAAUAAUGGUGUUCCAAAAAAGGUCCAGUCACCAGGACCACAAAUACAAAUUCAAUCUAGACACUGUUGCCCUAGAGCACACAAAAAACUAUACAUACCUUGGCCUAAACAUCAGCGCCACAGGUAACUUCCACAAAGCUGUGAACGAUCUGAGAGACAAGGCAAGAAGGGCAUUCUAUGCCAUCAAAAGAAACAUAAAUUUCAACAUACCAAUUAGGAUUUGGCUAAAAAUACUUGAAUCAGUCAUAGAGCCCAUUGCCCUUUAUGGUUGUGAGGUCUGGGGUCCGCUCACCAACCAAGACUUCACAAAAUGGGACAAACACCAAAUUGAGACUCUGCACGCAGAAUUCUGCAAAAAUAUCCUCCGUGUACAACGUAGAACACCAAAUAAUGCAUGCAGAGCAGAAUUAGGCCGAUACCCACUAAUUAUCAAAAUCCAGAAAAGAGCCGUUAAAUUCUACAACCACCUAAAAGGAAGUGAUUCACAAACCUUCCAUAACAAAGCCAUCACCUACAGAGAGAUGAACCUGGAGAAGAGUCCCCUAAGCAAGCUGGUCCUGGGGCUCUGUUCACAAACACAAACACACCCUACAGAGCCCCAGGACAACAGCACAAUUAGACCCAACCAAAUCAUGAGAAAACAAAAAGAUAAUUACUUGACACAUUGGAAAGAAUUAACAAAAAAACAGAGCAAACUAGAAUGCUAUUUGGCCCUAAACAGAGAGUACACAGCGGCAGAAUACCUGACCACUGUGACUGACCCAAAAUUAAGGAAAGCUUUGACUAUGUACAGACUCAGUGAGCAUAGCCUUGCUAUUGAGAAAGGCCGCCGUAGGCAGACAUGGCUCUCAAGAGAAGACAGGCUAUGUGCUCACUGCCCACAAAAUGAGGUGGAAACUGAGCUGCACUUCCUAACCUCCUGCCCAAUGUAUGACCAUAUUAGAGAGACAUAUUUCCCUCAGAUUACACAGAUCCACAAAGAAUUCGAAAACAAAUCCAAAUUUGAAAAACUCCCAUAUCUACUGGGUGAAAUUCCACAGUGUGCCAUCACAGCAGCAAGAUUUGUGACCUGUUGCCACGAGAAAAGGGCAACCAGUGAAGAACACACACCAUUGUAA
rnacentral:lncRNA from 1 species